rnacentral:rRNA from 1 species
UGGGGAAUUUUGCACAAUGGGGGAAACCCUGAUGCAGCGACGCCGCGUGAUUUAGAAGGCCUUCGGGUUGUAAAAAUCUUUUCUAUGGGAAGAAAAUGACAGUACCAUAGGAAUAAGGACCGGCUAAUUACGUGCCAGCAGCCGCGGUAAUACGUAAGGUCCGAGCGUUGUCCGGAAUCAUUGGGCGUAAAGGGUACGUAGGCGGGUAAGCAAGUUAGAAGUGAAAUCCUAUAGCUCAACUAUAGUAAGCUUUUAAAACUGCUCAUCUUGAGGUAUGGAAGGGAAAGUGGAAUUCCUAGUGUAGCGUUGAAAUGCGCAGAUAUUAGGAGGAAUACCGGUGGCGAAUGCGACUUUCUGGCCAGAACCUGACGCUGAGGUACGAAAGCGUGGGUAGCAAACAGG